GCCUGGGUGGCUCAGUCAGUUGAGCGUCCGACUUCAGCUCGGGUCAUGAUCUAAUGAACAGUGGGUUUGAGUCCCGUGUCAGGCU
rnacentral:tRNA from 1 species